UAUAAGGAAAAGAGAGAUGAUGGGGAAGCG
rnacentral:piRNA from 1 species